UAGUCACAGAGGAAGGCUGUGCUUCUCUGGUCUCAGCUCUGAGGUCAAACCCCUCACACCUGAGAGAGCUGGACCUGAGCUACAAUCACCCAGGAGACUCAGGAGUCAGACUGCUCUCUGCUGGACUGGAGGAUCCACACUGCAGACUGGAGAAACUCAAUGUGGAACAUGGUGGAGAGAACAGAAUGAAACCUGGGCUUAGAAAAUAUGUCUGUUAUCUCACGCUGGACCCAAACACAGCACACAGACUCUCUCUGUCUGAGGAGAACAGAAAGGUGACAUGGAGGAGAAAGAAGCAACAGCCGUAUCCUGAUCACCCAGAGAGAUUUAAGGACUGGCAGCAGGUGCUGUGUAGAGAGGGUCUGACUGGGCGCUGUUACUGGGAGGUAGAGUGGAGUGGGAGAGGUGCUGUUAUAGGAGUGACAUAUAAAGGAAUCAGCAGGAGAGGAAGGGGUGAUGACUGUUGUCUUGGAUACAGUGACAAGUCCUGGAGUUUGGACUGCUCUGACAAAAGUUACACUGCCUGGCACAAUAAUAAUUACACUACCAUAGACGUCCCCUCCUCCAGCUCCCACAGAGUAGGAGUGUAUCUGGACUGGCCAGCCGGCACUCUGUCCUUCUAUAGAGCCUCCUCUGACACACUGACCCACCUGAUCACAUGCACCUCCACAUUCACUGAACCCCUCUAUCCAGGGUUUUAUGUUUGGUAUGUUGACUCUUCAGUGUCCCUGGAAAAAAUAACCUGACACACACACACACACACACUGGACACACACACACACUGGACACACACACACACUGGACACACACAAAAACACUGGACACACACACACUGGACACUGGAAACGCACACACACAAACACAAUCUUGUACAGCUAACCUUGUGGGAACAUACAAUUCAGUCCCAUUCAAAAUCCUAUAUUCCUUUACCCCUAACCCUAAACCUAACCCUAACCCGUAUCCUUACCUUAACGCUAACCCUAAACCUUAGCCCCUAACCCUAACCCUAACCCGUAUCCUUACCUUAACGCUAAUCCUAAACCUUAGCCCCUAACCCUAACCCUAACCCUAACCCGUAUCCUUACCUUAACGCUAACCCUAAACCUUAGCCCCUAACCCUAAACCUA